CAAAAAUAACAAUGAUAUUAAUCGAGAUAUAGAGAAAGUAUCUCGAUUCUUCUUUUUACUAUCUCUAUCCUUUUUUUUUUCAUGUUUCUUCAUAUUAUCUUUUACUUUCUCAUGAUUCAUCAUCUUAUCUUUCACACCACCAAUUCCUUUUAUCAGAUGUCUCGGACAAGACCACUUCCAUCUAUUCAUUUAUGUCAAAUUAUGUAUAUGGUCAAGAUCUGUAUAUACAAAAGAUGGAGACAUUGAAUCUGGACAUAUGUUGAAGGUUUUACAAAGGAAGCGUUCAUAUUGUAAAGUUGAAUUACGAAAAUUUGUAGUUAAUGCAAUAGAAUAUUUCAUAUUUUAGAUAUCAUAUGAUCUGAGUUUGCAAUAUACGGAGUACGUUAUUGCAAUAUACGAAAAUUUUUUUGUUGUUUAAUACAUUGGCCCGUUCACUUCGUCUUAUUUUUA